rnacentral:misc_RNA from 1 species
UCCUCGUUUAAGCGAGGCAGUCUGUCCAGAGUGCUUCCCUCUCUCUAGGGAUGUCUGGUGCAUGUCAAACCCAGGUAAGGUUCUUCGCGUUGCAUCGAAUUAAUCCACAUGCUCCGCCGCUUGUGCGGGCCCCCGUCAAUUCCUUUGAGUUUUAGCCUUGCGGCCGUACUCCCCAGGCGGGGCGCUUAAUGCGUUAGCUACGGCACGGAAAACAUGAAUGCUCCCCACACCUAGCGCCCAACGCUUACAGCGUGGACUAC